rnacentral:rRNA from 1 species
UACGUAGGGGGCGAGCGUUGUCCGGAAUCAUUGGGCGUAAAGAGCUCGUAGGCGGUUCAGCAAGUCGGCUGUGAAAUUCCGAGGCUCAACCUCGGAACUGCAGUCGAUACUGCUGUGACUCGAGUCCGGUAGAGGAGAAUGGAAUUCCCGGUGUAGCGGCGAAAUGCGCAGAUAUCGGGAGGAACACCAGUAGCGAAGGCGGUUCUCUGGGCCGGUACUGACGCUGAGGAGCGAAAGCGUGGGGAGCAAACAGG